CUGAGAUCUUGCCCUAGACUACCCACCUCCCAGCUGCAAAAGAGAAGGGCUUUAGUUCUUCCCCAACUUGUGGAGUCUGCAGGCAGGAUUCACACCCUCCCCACCAGGUUCUGGCCAGGAGGCUCCUCCAUGGGUUCAAACUGUUACAAAGUUCAGCUGGAGACUUCCUUCUCUCUGUGGUGUUUUCUCCCCACUGCUGGCUGCCCUCCUGAAGGAUCCCUGUGAGGCCAGGCAGGAAUGGCUUGCCUGGGGACCCAGCAGGCUCCCAGGGCCUUUCCCGCUGCCUUCUCUGCCCUUGUAUUUCACUCAACUCUCUAAAGUGACUCAGCUCCAGGCUCUGCCCCCAUCAGCAUUCUGCAUGCCCUGUGGAGGAAGGCAGAAGUAAUGUUCUACGUUUAUGCCUUCUGGCAUGGAAGGAGAGCACUCUUCAGUUAGAGUCUAAGCUGGAGCAUGUUAUAGUAUGGUUCUCUUCAUCAGCUUGGGGUGCAAAUGAAGUCACGUUCUUUAGUGUGGUUUUUUUUUCAAUUAGUAACCCAAGCAGGAAGUCUUCUGCUUGAGACCGCCCCACUCCUGAAUUGUCUGAUGGCACCAAGGAAUCGCUAAAUCAACUCUGAGCCUGCUCCUUUAACGUGGAAAUGACUGCAACCAGUAGUACAAAAUUAUGGAAAAAAAAUUCACCAAAUGGGAUUUCAUUUUAAAAUGCAGAUCCCAUUUGAAGAGCUUCACAAAGGAACACUGCCUCUGACAAGUGGAGAAAAAUCUACCCUUCAAAGCUAAUUGUGGUAUUAAAAUGAAGAAGCUGAUGCGCAGAGAGGCUAAUUAACUUUCCUGAGCUCACACAGCUAGUGGGUUGUACAUGCCAAAUCUAAAUCCUUAGUUCAGAACUCCUUUCUAAUCCAUGUAUAAAUUGGCUCCCUAAGCAGCUUCACCUGGAUAUUCCAAGGGUACUUCAUAUUCAAAAUGUUCAAAUGGAAAUCACCAUAUAUUUCUGUGUCUGCAUAACCCCCUUUACGUGCUCGACUUCAGUGAAUGCCGUUGUUGACAUUGUGUCACCCAGGACACAAACCUCAGGGUCUUUUUUGGAUCUUCUUUUGUUUGCAUUCACUUGCCUGUCGAUGGUACCCUCCUAACACCUCUUUGGUGAGAUUCUCUGUCUGUCACUGUCACUGCCAUAGAUCAAGCCCUCACCGCACCAUCGUUCAGAAGAUUAUCAAUUUCUCUUGUCCUGAAUGGCCCAUCUCUUCAGUCUUGAUUCCUUCUAAUCCAUUUUGCACCCUGCCGAGUUUGUUUUCC
rnacentral:lncRNA from 10 species